AGGUCAAGCUACUAAGGGCGCACGGGGGAUGCCUUGGUGCCAAGAGCCGAAGAAGGGCGCGGCGAGACUGCGAAAAGCCUCGGUGAGCUGUCGGGCAAGCUGAGCCGGGGAUUCCCGAAUGGGGUAACCCACUCAGGUAAAACCUGAGUACUCCUAGCUGAACACAUAGGCUAGGAGGGGUAAGUGGGGGAACUGAAACAUCUAAGUACCCCGAGGAAAAGAUAUGUAUUCCCUGAGUAGUGGCGAACGAAAGGGGAACAGCCCAAACCCUGGUGACUCAGUGGACUCGAGUCCUAUGUCAUCAGGGGGUUGUAAGACAUGACUUGGAAAGGGCUCGAGACCUUUCCGGGAGUUACAAACCAUAACCCUAGCUGAAGGUCUCUGGAAUGAGCCGCCGCAGAGGGUGAAAGCCCCGUAGGCGAAAGGGGAAGGCUCCUGGUCAUGAUCUUGAGUACCACGGGACACGUGAAAUCUUGUGGGAAGCUGGGGUGACCACACUCCAAGGCUAAAUACUCUUGGCGACCGAUAGUGAACUAGUACCGUGAGGGAAAGGUGAAAAGAACCCCGGGAGGGGAGUGAAAGAGAUCUGAAACCGUGUGCCUACAAGCAGUCAGAGCCCUUCCUCGGAAGGGUGAUGGCGUGCCUAUUGAAGAAUGAGCCGACGAGUUAAUCUGUGUAGCUAGGUUAAGUCGCUUACGCGACGGAGCCGUAGCGAAAGCGAGUCCGAAUAGGGCGAUGCCGCUUCGGCGGCAGGUUGCAUGGAUUAGACCCGAAGCCGGGUGAGCUAACCAUGGCCAGGGUGAAGGUCGCCUAACCGCGACUGGAGGCCCGAACCCACCAGUGAGGCAAAACUGGGGGAUGAGCUGUGGUUAGAGGUGAAAUGCCAACCGAACCCGGAGAUAGCUGGUUCUCCCCGAAAUGCAUUUAGGUGCAGCCUCGGGUGUUGAGUUGCGCAGGUAGAGCGCUGGAUGGGCUAGGGGGCAAGCAGCUUACCAAACUCAACCAAACUGCGAAUGGCGUAACUAGAAAGCCCGGGAGUGAGACGGUGGGGGAUAAGCCUCAUCGUCGAGAGGGAAACAGCCCAGACCAUCAGCUAAGGUCCCCAAGUGUAGGCUAAGUGGUAAAGGAUGUAGAGUUGCUCAGACAGCCAGGAUGUUGGCUUAGAGGCAGUCACCAUUUAAAGAGUGCGUAACAGCUCACUGGUCGAGUGACUUUGCGCCGAAAAUGUAGCGGGGCUUAAGUCUACCACCGAAGCUAUGGGUUCGAUUUAUCGGACGGUAGGGGAGCGUUGCCUCCGCGUCGAAGCCUCGUCGUGAGUCGGGGUGGAGUGGAGGGAAGUGAGAAUGUCGGCAUGAGUAGCGCCAGGCGUGUGAGAAACACGUCCACCGUAAGCCUAAGGUUUCCUACGGAAGGUUAAUCCGCGUAGGGUUAGUCGGGCCUAAGCCGA
rnacentral:rRNA from 1 species